UACGUAGGGAGCAAGCGUUGUCCGGAAUCAUUGGGCGUAAAGCGCGCGUAGGUGGCCCGGUAAGUCCGCUCUGAAAGUCACAGGCUCAACCUGUGAAAGCGGGUGGAUACUGCCGGGCUAGAGUCCGGAAGAGGCGAGUGGAAUUCCUGGUGUAGCGGUGGAAUGCGCAGAUAUCAGGAGGAACACCAAUUGCGAAGGCAGCUCGCUGGGACGUUACUGACGCUGAGACGCGAAAGCGUGGGGAGCAAACAGG
rnacentral:rRNA from 1 species